AUUGAACGCUGGCGGCAGGCCUAACACAUGCAAGUCGAGCGGAUGAAGGGAGCUUGCUCCUGGAUUCAGCGGCGGACGGGUGAGUAAUGCCUAGGAAUCUGCCUGGUAGUGGGGGAUAACGUCCGGAAACGGGCGCCAAUACCGCAUACGUCCUGAGGGAGAAAGUGGGGGAUCUUCGGACCUCACGCUAUCAGAUGAGCCUAGGUCGGAUUAGCUAGUUGGUGGGGUAAAGGCCUACCAAGGCGACGAUCCGUAACUGGUCUGAGAGGAUGAUCAGUCACACUGGAACUGAGACACGGUCCAGACUCCUACGGGAGGCAGCAGUGGGGAAUAUUGGACAAUGGGCGAAAGCCUGAUCCAGCCAUGCCGCGUGUGUGAAGGAGGUCUUCGGAUUGUAAAGCACUUUAAGUUGGGAGGAAGAGCAGUAAGUUAAUACCUUGCUGUUUUGACGUUACCAACAGAAUAAGCACCGGCUAACUUCGUG
rnacentral:rRNA from 1 species